AUCGUCCUUGUCGAGGGUGCGUUGAUGAUUCUAUGAUCGCAAGUGAGGAUCAUUUCGCUGACACCCACAUACGACAUUUAACGUGAACUUUUUCAUUUAAGAGGUUCCAAUUUUUGGAAAA
rnacentral:ncRNA from 1 species